CCUACGGGCGGCAGCAGUGAGGAAUAUUGGUCAAUGGACGAGAGUCUGAACCAGCCAAGUAGCGUGAAGGAUGACUGCCCUAUGGGUUGUAAACUUCUUUUAUAUGGGAAUAAAAUGUUCCACGUGUGGGAUUUUGUAUGUACCAUAUGAAUAAGGAUCGGCUAACUCCGUGCCAGCAGCCGCGGUAAUACGGAGGAUCCGAGCGUUAUCCGGAUUUAUUGGGUUUAAAGGGAGCGUAGGUGGAUUGUUAAGUCAGUUGUGAAAGUUUGCGGCUCAACCGUAAAAUUGCAGUUGAAACUGGCAGUCUUGAGUACAGUAGAGGUGGGCGGAAUUCGUGGUGUAGCGGUGAAAUGCUUAGAUAUCACGAAGAACUCCGAUUGCGAAGGCAGUUCACUGGACUGCAACUGACACUGAGGCUCGAAAGUGUGGGUAUCAAACAGGAUGAGAUACCCGGGUAGUC
rnacentral:rRNA from 1 species